rnacentral:rRNA from 1 species
AUGCUCUUCUGCCAUGCCACGGAGAGCGACGUGACCGCCGUCAAGGAAAUCCUUGACCUGUUCGGAAGAGCGUCGGGCCUCAAGGUGAACUACACCAAGAGCUCAGCCACCGUCCUGCAUGGAGACCAGACCACCCACGAGACCAUUGCCAGCUUGGGAUGUGCAACUGCCGCGCUCCCGGUCACCUACCUCGGCAUACCUCUGACGGUGCGUCGCCCUUCCGCGGGACAGCUGCAGCCCCUCGUCGACAAGGUCGCUGGACACCUACCCACCUGGAAAGCGUGGCUGAUGAACCGGGCCGGCAGGCUGGCCCUGGUCAAGUCCGUCCUCUGCGCCAUCUCGGCUUCCUCUGGGCCGGACGAGCCGCCGCCAACGGCGGGCACUGCCACGUUAACUGGCGUCGCGUCAGUCGCCCCCUCGCCCUGGGCGGCCUCGGGAUCCAUGACCUGGAGCGGACUGGCCUCGCGCUUAGACUGA